UACGUAGGUGGCAAGCGUUGUCCGGAUUUACUGGGCGUAAAGAGCGCGCAGGCGGUCGUUCAAGUCGCGUGUGAAAGCCCCCGGCUCAACUGGGGAGGGUCACGCGAUACUGAUCGACUCGAAGGCAGGAGAGGGUAGUGGAAUUCCCGGUGUAGAGGUGAAAUUCGUAGAUAUCGGGAGGAACACCGGUGGCGAAGGCGGCGACCUGGGUCGAGACUGACGCUGAGGCGCGAAAGCGUGGGGAGCAAACAGG
rnacentral:rRNA from 1 species